rnacentral:rRNA from 1 species
UGGGGAAUAUUGCGCAAUGGGGGAAACCCUGACGCAGCAACGCCGCGUGGGUGAUGAAGGUCUUCGGAUUGUAAAACCCUGUCUUUGGGGACGAUAAUGACGGUACCCAAGGAGGAAGCCACGGCUAACUACGUGCCAGCAGCCGCGGUAAUACGUAGGUGGCGAGCGUUGUCCGGAAUUACUGGGCGUAAAGAGUAUGUAGGCGGAUGCCUAAGUCAGAUGUGAAAUUCCCGGGCUUAACCUGGGCGCUGCAUUUGAAACUGGGCAUCUAGAGUGCAGGAGAGGAAAGUGGAAUUCCUAGUGUAGCGGUGAAAUGCGUAGAGAUUAGGAAGAACACCAGUGGCGAAGGCGACUUUCUGGACUGUAACUGACGCUGAGAUACGAAAGCGUGGGGAGCAAACAGG